rnacentral:rRNA from 1 species
UGGUGGAGUGAUUUGUCUGCUUAAUUGCGAUAACGAACGAGACCUUAACCUGCUAAAUAGUUACGUGAACCUUUGCGUUCGUGGACAACUUCUUAGAGGGACUUUUGUCGUGUUUUAACCUAAAAGGAAAGUUUGUAGGCAAUAACA